GGCUCGGUAGCUUAGCUGUUGAAACACUUGUCUAGCGUAUAAGAGUCGUGGGUUCAAAUCCCACCUGAGCAC
rnacentral:tRNA from 1 species